UGACUGCUUUUGAUAUGCCUUUUAAUGUGAUUUCUGAUUCUUCAUAUGUGGCUCAUUCCACACAGUUAAUUUAAAAUGCUCAGUUACUAUUUCAUACAGAUAAAUAACUAAUGACAAAAACAAAAAAGGGGGAGAAUAGGGAUUAUGGGACAGCCCAUACACAACUGAAUCUAGCAUUAUUAACUUUAAAUUUUUUGAGCCUGCCCAAAGGCCAGAUGUUAUCAGCAGCUGAACAGCAUCUACAGAAACCAGCUGCAAAGACAGAAGCAGAACAACUGGGUUGGUGGAGAGAUCCGAUAACAAAAAGUUGGGAAAUAGGUAAAAUAAUAAAUAAUAACUUGGGGUAGAGGUUAUGCUUGUGUUUCUCCAGGCCAAAAUCAACAACCAAUUUGGAUAUCAUCAAGACACCUGAAACCUUAUUAUGAGCCAGAUGCUGAGGAAGAGAUUCCAGGAGGAUCCCAAGGACCCCCUGGUUGAAGCCAUGUUGAGACUGAUGCUGAAGAGGACCCCAACUGCCACGACCAACACCCAUUGAACAUAGCCACCCACCUGGGAUCAGAUCAAGAAGCUAUCACAGAUGGCGGAAGAAAACCUGAGGAAAGCGGGACAACCAGUCACAAUGAGUAAUUGAAUGGUAGCUAUGAUGGCGGUGAUCACCACUGCCUCUGCAGAUGCAGAUCCUGACUCCUGCGAGAAGUAGCUCACCAUGACAAAGCUGCCUUUGCUUUUAUCACUUUGAAAAUCAAAGAAGAGGGAGGAGUUCAUUGGCUUUGGUCAAAGACUAGGAUCACCUAUAAAAGGCGGACCCCUUGCCGCUGGA